rnacentral:misc_RNA from 1 species
CGACCCUCAAGCACAGCUUGGUGUUGGGCAAGGUCCCGGGGGACCCGCCCGUAACUUGUAGGCGGCCGACGCCCGCGCCCCCAGCGUAGCAAGCUCACGCGUUCGCUCGGGGACGGCGCGCCUGGCCGGCCACUAAAUUAUUCCAAG